CAAGCCGGUUGGCCCCGAGCCGCCCCCUGCCGUUCAUGCAGGCAGGUCCAGGCAGGAGGGAUGUGCACUGUCACCGUUUUAUCUCGCCAGCUACUGAUCAGGAAGGAGCAACAAGCCAUCUGACCCAAGCCCUAAGGUACAGGAGGCAUACUCCCUUGACUCCAUGCCUCUUGGAAGGAUGUCGUAAGGUCAGCAGAGCUUUAGUGAACACGGUUAAAGUCCUAGGUUGGCAGCAGCUGAGGGAGGCUUCAUCAGAAGACGGUGUUGAGUUGCCCUGGCAUCACUGGGCAGAUGAAGAGGAUGGGUGCUGCUGAGGGGUAGCACCAUGCCCUCCCUAUGUUCCAACUCCCCUGGCCAGAGGCUCCCCAGUUCCACUCCAGAAGUACAGCCCUGUCGCUAA